UACAGAGGUCCCAAGCGUUGUUCGGAUUCAUUGGGCGUAAAGGGUGCGUAGGCGGCGCGGUAAGUCGGGUGUGAAAUCUCGGGGCUUAACUCCGAAACUGCAUUCGAUACUGCCGUGCUUGAGGACUGGAGAGGAGACUGGAAUUUACGGUGUAGCGGUGAAAUGCGUAGAUAUCGUAAGGAAGACCAGUGGCGAAGGCGAGUCCCUGGACAGGUCCUGACGCUGAGGCACGAAAGCUAGGGGAGCAAACAGG
rnacentral:rRNA from 1 species